CCUACGGGAGGCUGCAGUGAGGAAUAUUGGUCAAUGGGCGCGAGCCUGAACCAGCCAAGUCGCGUGAGGGAGGACGGCCCUACGGGUUGUAAACCUCUUUUGCCGGGGAGCAACGGGCGUCACGUGUGGCGCCACUGCGAGUACCCGGAGAAAAAGCAUCGGCUAACUCCGUGCCAGCAGCCGCGGUAAUACGGAGGAUGCGAGCGUUAUCCGGAUUUAUUGGGUUUACAGGGUGCGUAGCCGGAUCGUUAAGUCAGUGGUCAAAUUGAGGGGCUCAACCCCUUCCCGCCAUUGAAACUGGCGUUCUUGAGUGGAAGAGAAGUAUGCGGAAUGCGUGGUGGAGCGGUGAAAUGCAUAGAUAUCAUGCAGGACCCCGAUUGCGAAGGCAGCAUGCCGGCUUCCGACUGACGCUGAAGCACGAAAGCGUGGGGAUCGAACAGGAUUAGAUACCCGAGUAGUG
rnacentral:rRNA from 1 species